CCUACGGGAGGCAGCAGUGGGGAAUAUUGCACAAUGGGCGCAAGCCUGAUGCAGCCAUGCCGCGUGUAUGAAGAAGGCCUUCGGGUUGUAAAGUACUUUCAGCGGGGAGGAAGGGAGUAAAGUUAAUACCUUUGCUCAUUGACGUUACCCGCAGAAGAAGCACCGGCUAACUCCGUGCCAGCAGCCGCGGUAAUACGGAGGGUGCAA
rnacentral:rRNA from 1 species